CAAUAGCGUAUAUUUAAGUUGCUGCAGUUAAAAAGCUCGUAGUUGGAUUUCGGGUGGGAAUGGCCGGUCCGCCGUUUCGGUGUGCACUUGCUACGCCCACCUUGCUGCCGGGGACGUGCUCUUGAGUUCACGCUCGGGACACGGAGUCGGCGAGGUUACUUUGAGUAAAUUAGAGUGUUCAAAGCAGGCCUACGCUCUGAAUACAUUAGCAUGGAAUAACACGAUAGGACUCUGGCCUAUCUUGUUGGUCUGUAGGACCGGAGUAAUGAUUAAGAGGGACAGUCGGGGGCAUUCGUAUUUCAUUGUCCGAGGUGAAAUUCUUGGAUUUAUGAAAGACGAACUACUGCGAAAGCAUUUGCCAAGGAUGUUUUCAUUAA
rnacentral:rRNA from 1 species